rnacentral:lncRNA from 1 species
GCCAAUAAGGCACGGCGUCAAGGGCUGUGGGCGAAGAGGUUGGUUGCGGGCAAACAGGUUUCACCCACCCACGCCCUUCGCCAUAGUGCCAAUGAGUGCCAAUAUGGCACGGCGUCAAGGGCUGCGGGCGAACAGGUUUCGUCCACCCACGCCCUUCGCCAUAGUGCCAAUAAGGCACGGCGUCAAGGGCUGCGGGCGAACAGGUUUCGCCAACCAACGCCUUUCGCCAUAGUGCCAAUAUGGCACGGCGUCAAGGGCUGCGGGCGAAGAGGUUUCGCCACACGCCAUACCCUUCGCCAUAGUACCAAUGAGGUACGGCGUCAAGGGUUGCGGGUGAAAAGGUUUCGCCCACCCACGCCCUUCGCCAUAGUACCAAUAAGGUACGGCGUCAAGGGCUGCGGGCGAACAGGUUUCGCCACACGCCAUACCCUUCGCCAUAGUACCAAUGAGGUACGGCGUCAAGGGUUGCGGGCGAACAGGUUUCGCCCACCCACGCCCUUCGCCAUAGUACCAAUGAGGGCUGGGGACGAAAAUGAGUUGCUUCCAAGCUCGGGGGCUAUGAGGCCACCCUAG